rnacentral:rRNA from 1 species
GAGGUAGUGACAAGAAAUAACAAUACGGGGCUUUAUGUCUUGUAAUUGGAAUGAUGGGAAUUUAAACCUCUUCCAGAGUAUCAAUUGGAGGGCAAGUCUGGUGCCAGCAGCCGCGGUAAUUCCAGCUCCAAUAGCGUAUAUUAAAAUUGUUGCAGUUAAAAAGCUCGUAGUUGAAUUUCUGCUGCAUUGCAUCUUCUUUUUGAUGAGUUGGUGUAUUGUGGCUUAUUUCGGAUGAUACUUGUAUUAUCCGGAUGAUUACUUUGAGAAAAUUAGAGUGCUCAAAGCAGGCUUUUGCCUUGAAUAGUUUAGCAUGGAAUAAUAAAGUAGGACUUUGGUUCUAUUUUGUUGGUUUUAGGUACCAAAGUAAUGGUUAAUAGGAACAGUUGGGGGCAUUCGUAUUUAACUGUCAGAGGUGAAAUUCUUAGAUUUGUUAAAGACGAACUACUGCGAAAGCAUUUGCCAAGGAUGUUUUCAUUAAUCAAGAACAAAAGUUAGGGGAUCGAAGA